rnacentral:rRNA from 1 species
UACGGAGGGUGCAAACGUUGCUCGGAAUCAUUGGGCGUAAAGCGCACGUAGGUGGCUUGUUAAGUCGGGUGUGAAAUCCCUGGGCUCAACCCAGGAAGUGCACUCGAAACUGGCGAGCUUGAGUACUGAAGAGGGUCGCGGAAUUCCCGGUGUAGAGGUGAAAUUCGUAGAUAUCGGGAGGAACACCAGUGGCGAAGGCGGCGA